rnacentral:tRNA from 1 species
AUCUAAAUAGUUUAAUAAAAAUAUUGAUUUGUGGUAUCAAAGAUAUAAUUUUUUUUAUUUUAGAUU